CCUACGGGUGGCAGCAGUGGGGGAUAUUGCACAAUGGGGGAAACCCUGCUGCCUCUCCUCCUCUUUCUUGAAGAAGUAUUUCGGUAUGUAAAGCUCUAUCAGCAGGGAAGAAAAUGACAGUACCUGACCAAGAAGCCCCGGCUAACUACGUGCCAGCAGCCGCGGUAAUACGUAGGGGGCAAGCGUUAUCCGGAUUUACUGGGUGUAAAGGGAGCGUAGACGGUUAUGUAAGUCUGGAGUGAAAGCCCGGGGCCCAACCCCGGGACUGCUUUGGAAACUGUGUAACUGGAGUACAGGAGGGGCAGGCGGAAUUCCUGGUGUAGCGGUGAAAUGCGUAGAUAUCAGGAGGAACACCGGCGGCGAAGGCGGCCUGCUGGACUGAAACUGACGUUGAGGCUCGAAAGCGUGGGGAGCAAACAGGAUUAGAUACCCUUGUAGUC
rnacentral:rRNA from 1 species